rnacentral:lncRNA from 1 species
CGGAAUCUGGCCGGAAAAAAAUAUUUCAGAAAAAAAAAUUAUUUUCUGAAAAAAAAAAAGUUUUGGGGGUUAAUGUGAUAUAUUUGUUUAAAUCCGGGGUCAAUGUGUAAUAUUUAAGAAGUUAGAGCAUAAUGGGUGGAAUUGAUAAGAAUUAGGGUUAAAAUUGGGGUCAAAAUUGAAAUUAGGGUUAAAAUUGGUUAAUUGAUGAAAUUAGGCUAAAUUGGGGUGUAAAUCAUGAAAUUGGAGUUGAAUUGGAUUUCAAUGAAUUGAGGGUAAUUUUGGUAUAUAUAAAGGGAUUUUCCUUAUUUGCAAAUAAGUUUGAAUGGGGUGGGUUUAUUUGAGAAACAAAAAAGUUGGAUGUCCCUUUUUUAAUUAAGUGCCCUUGUCAUGGGCCUAUUUGCCAUUACCCCUAAA